UAGCGUAAUCAAUAGCCAAUUAAUUGUUGGCCGGUAUGAAUGGCAUCACGAAGGCCCCACUGUCUUAAGAGGACUCUCCAUGAAAUUGAAUUCGUAGUGAAGAUGCUACGUCCAUAUUGUAAGACGAAAAGACCCCAUUGAGCUUUACUAAAGACUUGUAUAGCUCGAAAUAACUUAAAUAAAAAGUUUAGAUAAUGUGGGAUCCGUUUUUGGUUAAUGAAACACCACUCUUUUAUUUUAAGAGAGCUAACCUUGUAGGGAGAAUGCAAGUUGGAUAGUUUGGUUGGGGCGACCACCUUUUAAAAGGUAACGAAGGUGAGCUUAAGGUCCGUAGUUAAUAGCUAGUGGCCUGACUGCAAGGGGGACAUCCCGAGCAGACACUGGUAAUCUCUCAGUGGGUUAUAGUGACCCGUC
rnacentral:rRNA from 1 species